UUGCUCUUCAACGAGGAAUGCCUAGUAAGCGCAAGUCAUCAGCUUGCGUUGAUUACGUCCCUGCCCUUUGUCCACACCGCCCGUCGUUACUACCGAUUGAAUGGCUUAGUGAGAUCUCCGGAUUGGCUUUGGGAAGCUGGCAACGGCUACCUAUUGCUGAGAAGCUGAUCAAACUUGGUCAUUUAGAGGAAGUAAAAGUCGUAACAAGGUUUCCGUAGGUGAACCUGCGGAAGGAUCAUUAAUGAUUGAACGUCUGUCGAGCUUGCUCAUAGGCACAUCAUAUUCAUAACACCUGUGCACUUGUCGGAUGGCUUAGUGAAGACCGCAAGGUUGGAUCUAUCCAUCUACUUUACAUAACAAUUCUGUAACAAAUGUAGUCUUAUUAUAACAUAAUAAAACUUUCAACAACGGAUCUUUUGGCUCUCGCAUCGAUGAAGAACGCAGCGAAAUGCGAUAAGUAAUGUGAAUUGCAGAACUCAGUGAAUCAUCGGAUCUUUGAACGCACCUUGCGCCCCUUGGUAUCCCGAGGAGCAUGCCUGUUUGAGUGUCAUGAAAACCCUCAACCCUAGAUUGGUUAAAACCUUUCUUUGGUUUGAAUUUGGACGUUUGCCGAUGAUAAGCCGGCUCGUCUUAGAAGUAAUAGCUGGAUCUGCCUCGCGACAUGGUUUGACUUGGCGUAGUAAGUAUUUCGCGAAGGACAUCUUCGGAUGGCCGCGUUGCAGGACUAAAGACCGCUUUCUAAUCCAUUGAUCUUCGGGAUUAAUAUUCUUGACAUCUGGCCUCAAAUCAGGUAGGACUACCCGCUGAACUUAAGCAUAUCAAUAAGCGGAGGA
rnacentral:rRNA from 1 species